rnacentral:snRNA from 1 species
GUGCUCGCUUCGGCAGCACAUAUACUAAAAUUGUAAGGAUACAGAGAUCAGCAUGGUCCGUGUGCAAGGAUGACAUGCAAAUUUGUGAAGCAUUCCAUAUUUUA